rnacentral:lncRNA from 1 species
AUUUAUUUAGGAUUUGAUUAGGAUUGUUUUAGGUUUUUAUUGAGAUUUAGUUAGAAUUUGUUUAGGAUUUGACUAGGAUUUGGUUAGAAUUUAUUUAGUUUUUAUUUAGAAUUUUGUUAGGAUUUAUUUAGAAUUUGUUUAGAAUUUUACUAGAAUUUGAUUAAGAUUUUUUUAGGAUUUAUUUAGGAUUUGAUUAAGAUUUGAUUAAGAUUUAUUUAAUAUUUGAUUAGAAUUUAAUUAAGAUUUAGUUAGAAUUUAGUUAGGAUUUAUUUAGGAUUUUAUUAAGAUUUGACUAAAAUUUAAUUAAAAUUUCUAUUUUAGUAUAUUUUUGAAUUUCUAUGUUAUUCUUUAUGAUUUCUUUAAAAGGUCUUUAGGAAUACUUUGGAUUUCUUAUAUAAUUCCUUUGUAAUUUUGAUUGAAUUUGAUUAAUGUUUGAUUAUACUUACUAAUCUUCAAUUAUAAUUUG